AGGAAGAGGGACAGUAGCAGAGGAGAAGCAAAAGAGGUUUCAUAUUUACUAAGACUCAGCAUUAAAUAGAACAGCUGUAAAAAAACUUUUUUUAAAAAAACCAGCCCUUCCUUCUACAAUAAUCAGCACUUAUCUGUGAAGCAUCUUCUACCUUGUUAAAACUCAUGCCGUCUCAGUUCCGUGAGUGAUUCAUUACCAGUGUUCUUGAUAUCCUAGGUCACCCAUGCACCAUGGAAACAUGAUACUUAAGACCAUAUAACUGAGGACUCAGCAGAUGUUGAUGCUGAGCUUUCCUGUUCGUCUCACGCUUCCGCUUUCCUUUGUACUCUGUGUAUUCAUGCAUCUGUACGUAGCUAUAUUCAUGCAUAGCUAUAUCCAGGUAAAUCACAGAACUCACAGAAAACAAGCCUAGAUAUUAGCCUAGGCAUAUUAAAACAAAAGUGGUGGAAAGCGAGAUAACACGUGAAAGCAAGAAAAUUAGCCGCCCCCCACCAAAUACUAGCAGCAUAACUGCUGUUCCUUUCUUGUUUCUAAGCUGCUACAGCAUCUUCCUGGGAAAACCUUUGUUUGUUGUUGUUUCCUGGAACAUCCCUGGUGCCCUUUUGAGGCCCUGUUUGUUCAUUGUGCCCUUUGGGGUUGCAUACAGGGCUGGGCUUGAUACUGACACACAUACCACUAUGUUGUAAAUUCUAUGCAUGUUCCUUGAGGUUUACUCCAGCUUCUAGAAUCUAGCAGGGCUUUCUGCCAUCUCACAGGAUUGCAGCCAAAGUUAAUAUCCGUACGUUGUGUUGGCAGUGAGUAAGAUGAUCCUCAGAUCCUUGAGUCCCGAGUCAUUUAGAGCCUUUUAUGCUAACAGCAAGUCCAUAAGCUGGGUCUGUGGAAAAGCUGGUUGCAGUUCUUAAGCUGAACAAUCCUUUGCAUGAUUAGCUGAGAAGAACUGCUUUUUCUCUUCUUUUGCAGUUCAGUAGCUUCACUUCUAAAGGUAAUGAUGAGGAUGGCAUGUACUAACUUGCUUGAGUUGGGUGGGCUGGCAAAACAUCAUAGAUCAUUUUUAUCCAAUAGCUGCUUGUAGCCUUUACUUGCAGAUUCACACCUGCAAUAAUGACAUUGGGGGGGGGGGAGAGAAUAUGCAUUUUGGGGUAGGAAGAAGCUGUACGGCACUUCAUCUCUCAGGAAUCAAAAUCCACAUUAAAAUUGGAGCAGCUUCAGAUGCAGGAUUAUGAUUAAGGGUUUGGAAUGCAUGUCAUAGGAAGAAAGGCCGCUGACUCAGAAGUAGGCUAGCUUUUCAAAAACACCAUUUGGGGAGACAACUGUGCAGGAAGCUGUGGGGUGGGUGGUUCUGCAGAACAACACAGUGACAUUUGGAGAGGGACAGAGAACCUUAGGAACAAACAGUUCCAACAAAUGGCUGGAGCCUCCGUUUGGCAGAGAUGCUCCUCGCAGAGUUCUGUGCUUUCCAGCGCUCGGUUUCCAUGGCUUCAGCAUUCCUAGUUGUUUGGAAAGUUAAAAGUGCAAUAUUAGGUUAUUAGAACCUUGUAGCACAAAUCAUUGGCAGGUUACUUAACAUCAGCACAUGAAAUGCAGCCACACAUGUUUAUUUGUGCCCCGAUUACCCCCAUAACUAUGUAUUUACAAGACACAAUGGGAAGAAUAACCCCAUCAGGGCCUAGACCACUGAAAGUGUAGACAAUCUCAGUAACCAGAAUGGAGGCUUAGUUUCCAACAGUAGGGCAUAUGACUUCUCUUCUCUUAGUAACUCUUUGACCCUUCUCAGGAAAAAAAAGAGAGGCAAAUUAACAUAAUUAAUUCCAGUUGCAGAAUUCAGCUUUUCUUGGCGCAGGACUUGAAUUCCUUGGGUGCUUAAUUAAAAUUUGUUUUUAGUGCAGAAUACACAACAGCCCUGAUGCUAUCUAAUUCUGUGUAGUUAUGAAACAUCAGGCUGACUUCAGUUAACCCAGGACUUUGCCCAAUACUUUCUUGGACAUUUUAAUAUCAGUGAGAUGACUGUAUGCUUUUCAAAACUCCGUAGUCAGGUAUGCCUGAGAUCCUUUAUAGAUUACAGAAAGUAGUACUUCUCAUAGAUUAGGCUUGGUUGAACUUCACAUCGCCAUUGUAAAGGGCUGCAGUUCCUGCUUUGAGAAGCACCAGUGAGAUUUAAGUGGUGCAUUGCUCUUGAUAGCUUUCUCUGCAAAUUUCUGGUCCUUCUGCAGUUAAAAAUAAAAUGUCCCCUGAGUGCUUCAGCUCCUGCUAGUUUAAACUAGUACCGACAUUCCCAUCAGAGCUGUAAUACAAGUGAGGUUUUCCUUGCAUGCAGACGGAAAAGCUUCUCUAGUGACGGUCACUUGAAUGGAUGUAGAUGGCGAUUUUGAAUUAAGUUCGAAAUGGUUAGGUGUUAGACGUUAAGUGCAGAUUUCUCAUGUACAGAAACACAUUCAGCUUGCAUGUAAAGCCCGUGAACCCCAAUGGAACUUGCACCCAAACAUGCUUCAGGUGCAUUUAAACACAAACACUUGGGCUGCAAUCCUGUAUCCACUUACCUGGAAGUGAGACCCGUGAGCCAGACUUGACUAAAAACUUGCAGUAGCGGUGCUGGCACAGUUGUGGUUCCCUCUUCUCCCUCUGUGUGCAUCUGCCACUGCCGCCACCCUGCAAACAUCUGUGAAGUUUGGGAGAGCACAGCUGGCAAGAGGAAACCUUGUGCAGACCAGGCGACCGUAACAGUGCAACGUUGCAUUUGGUGUGACUGAAUAGACCGGUACAAGGUUGCACUGUUAGAUGCAAACACUAAGUAACAAGUAGAUAAAUAGGCUCCGCUGUGGCGGGAAGGUAAACUGUGUUUCCGUGCGCUCUGGUUUCCGUCACGGUGUUCCGUUGUGCCAGAAGCAGUUUAGUCCUGCUGACCACAUGACCCGGAAAGCAGUCUGUGAACAAACGCCGGCUCCGUCGGCCUGAAAGCGAGAUGAGCGCUGCAACCCGAUAGUCACCUUUGACUGGAUCCAGCUAUCCAGGGAUCCUUUACCUUUACCUUUUACCUUUAGGGUUGCACUGUUAGAUGCAAAAACUAAGUAACAGGAAUGGGUGUCCGUAGGCUUAUGUGGUUAACACCUUUGCAACCUGCCCUGCUGCCUCAACAAGGCAUUCCAAGCUGCAGGCAGCGCUGAAACUCUGCAAUAUUUCUUAGCUAUCCUCAAAAAGCCAGAUAAGAAGCAGAACAAAGCAGCAGAACAAACCAUUGUCAGACAGGAGCUUGCAGCGUCCCAAAUCAACUGAAGGGCAACAUGCACCAAACUAUCCCACGAAUGCCAAUUAAGAAUCUAUGCACAGUAUAGAAAAACCGACACCCUGUUAUAUAAAUAUAAAUCGAUCCAAUUUUUUGUGUGAGAAGUGAUGGGGAAAGAGUAUCAAACUGAAAAUAAAGUAACUGAUCCCUGAUGGAGAUGGAAUGCGUUCCAUCUUUCAGGUGUACAGGGAAUUCAACACGGUUGCCUGUGAUGGCUUUCCCCCAAUUAAAUUCUUAAGGGGGUGCUGUAAGCGCUCCCUCUUUCCACCUUGUGCUCCCCCUCCCCUUUGGAGACCUCAGCAAUAACAAAAUGUGAAGCUUUGCUUUGUUUCAGUCUGCCAUAGACCCCUGAAUUACCAGGGACGGGGGUGGCGCUGUGGUCUAAACCACUGGGCCUCUUGGGCUUGCUGAUCCGAGGGUCAGCAGUUCAAAUCUGCACAACGGGGUGAGCUCCCGUUGCUCUGUCCCAGCUCCUGCCAACCUAGCAGUUCGAAAGCACACCAGUGCAAGUAGAUAAAUAGGUACCACUGUGGCGGGAAGGUAAAUUGUGUUUCCGUGCGCUCUGGUUUCCGUCACAGUGUCCUGUUGCACCAGAAGUGGUUUAGUCUUGCUGGCUACGUGACCCCGAAAGCUGUCUGGGGACAAACGCUGGCUCCCUUGGCCUGAAAGCAAGAAAGAUGAGCGCCACAACCCCAUAGUCGCCUUUGACUGGACUUAACAGUCCAGGGGUCUACCUUAGACCCCUGAAGAAUCACGUCAUUCUGAUUUGAAAAAGCGAGUUGCUAACAGUACUGCAGAGGACCUCUGAAGGCUGCUGGUGUUCUGUAGAUAGUGGCACUCAAUGCGAAUUGCAUUUCUUUUUUAACAGGGAACAUUGCCCACCAACCUAGGCAGCCUGCCUUACACAGUGUUAGACCAUUGGUCCAUUUAAUUCAGUAUUGUCUCUACUAGCUGGUUGCACCUUCUUCGAGUUUCUUCCCUAAUCCUAACGAGAUCCCAGGGAUUGAACCUUCAACUUUAUUCAUACAAAGCAGAUGUUCCGUGCAGUCCUUCUCCAGUGUAAUUCCAAAAAUUUGAUUCUCCAAGGUCAGAUUACCACCUUGAUAGCAACUUUUUUUGUUUUUAAGUUGAUUUCAGAAAUUAAUAUUGCAAAAGCCUCCAACGUCACAUUUAGUCAUUGCGGGAAUGACCUGGAAAGCCGUACCUGUGUCGUUCCACUACUGCAGUUUGCAAAUUACUUUCUCCAGAAUAGAUCUACAUACGUCAGUAGAACUACUUCUGAAUAAGUAUCCUGUAAAUUGCAGUUCAGUAACAAAUUUGCACUUUCUCAAGAUCAGCCAUUGAUUGUGAAAACAUUGAUAAAGCGUUAUGAAUGACAAUCAUAUAUUAUUUUUUUAAUAGAGUAUUUUUUAAAAACCUCAAGCAAACAAACCCACGUUUCCUUUGUUACUUAGGGGGGAGAGUAUUGAUUUCAAGCUGCUAAUUAUUUACUUAUUUUAAAGAAUUGUGUUUUGUUUUUUUAAAAAAAGAAAUUAAUAUAUGCAGGCCCAAAAUAAUAAUUUAUUUUUAUGUGAAUUUAUUUAUUGCUAUUCCUCGAAUGAAAAUGGGACAAAUGAAUCAGUGUUUUCUCUGUGAAUAAAAAAUUUGUACAUAGUGUGAAAGCUCUUAUUUGUACAUAAGUGUUGCAGAAAUAUUCUUCUGAAUGUAUUUCUUCACUAUAAGUACUGAAUUUUAAUUAUUGUGACUCGUGUACACUUUUCCACAGCUACUCUGUGUUCCUGUAACUCCUCAUAAGGCACCUUGUGUAACUUAAAAAUCAUAUAAGUGUGGAAAUAAAUGAACAAAUUUAAAAAGUG